rnacentral:lncRNA from 10 species
UGGGGAUCAUGCUGCCUCAACUGUAGCUGUGGGCAUGUGCAUGCAACAUCAGGAAGUCUGACAGCAGGCCCAGGUCACCUGCCACUGGGACCCAAGCAUGCCAUCCAGGGGCCUGGUGAUUUCCUGGCCCCACUCACCAUAGCCUGCACACUUGCACACCAUUGGAGGGUCUAAGGGCAGGAAAGCAACAUGCCUCCCUGGAGAGAGCUUGAUUCUAUUCUGGCAUAUGCUAGAGAAAAGUACUAAACCAAGUCAGAUGCUUUGGAAUGUGGUCUAAAUAUUAAUGCUACCAAACUGGGGAGGAAGUAACUCAGUUUUGCUGAUUUUUCAUUUUCUUAUGCUUUAUUGGUUAACAAAGAAACCAUUAUUUGCUUUUGAAGGCAGAGUUAUUAUUUUCUACCAUGAAGUUACUUCAACUCAUAAAAAUGUAUUUUAUUUACACCUUUGUAGCAAUGGAGCUUGGAAGAAAAUAUAAAGCUUACCUACAUGAACAUUUCAUCUAGUAUUCUGUGGUCUCACCUGGUCUUCUAUGAAGUUUCAGUUCAAGUGAGGAAACAGCACCAUGCUCUAUUAUGAAAGGAGGCAUUUGCCAUGUGAUUGGAUCAGAGGUAGCUCAAGGUAAUAAAAGGCCUCAAAGCAAUUAGAAAAGACAGAAUUAUUAAUGUGGAUUUAAUGGCAUUAACUGCUUCCCUCCUUUUUUCUCACUGUGUUAUUUUGAAUAACCACAUAGUUUUUUCAAGAUUCUAAUAUAUAUAAUCUAAUCCAUAUGAUUUUUGUACGUGUGAGUUACACAAGGCCGGUAUAUAAAACUUUGACCAAUGUGUCUGUAAAUCAGAGUUCUGCAAACUAUGGCUUAUGGGUG